rnacentral:rRNA from 1 species
UACGUAGGGUGCAAGCGUUAAUCGGAAUUACUGGGCGUAAAGCGUGCGCAGGCGGUUCGCUAAGACAGAUGUGAAAUCCCCGGGCUUAACCUGGGAACUGCAUUUGUGACUGGCGGGCUAGAGUAUGGCAGGAGGGGGGUAGGAAUUCCACGGUGUAGCAGUGAAAUGCGUAGAGAUGUGGAGGAACACCGAUGGCGAAGGCAGCCCCCUGGGUCAAGAUUGACGCUCAUGCACGAAAGCGUGGGGGAGCAAACAGG